GCACAAGCGGUGGAGUAUGUGGUUUAAUUCGAUGCAACGCGAAGAACCUUACCUGGGCUUGACAUACACCAGAUCGGCGCAGAGAUGCGUUUUUCCCUUGUGGUUGGUGUACAGGUGGUGCAUGGUUGUCGUCAGCUCGUGUCGUGAGAUGUUGGGUUAAGUCCCGCAACGAGCGCAACCCUUGUCUUAUGUUGCCAGCACGUGAUGGUGGGGACUCAUGAGAGACUGCCGGGGUUAACUCGGAGGAAGGUGGGGAUGACGUCAAAUCAUCAUGCCCCUUAUGUCCAGGGCUUCACACAUGCUACAAUGGUCGGUACAACGCGUGUGCGACACUGUGAGGUGAAGCUAAUCGCUCUAAAGCCGGUCGUAGUUCGGAUUGGGGUCCGCAACUCGACCCCAUGAAGUCGGAGUCGCUAGUAAUCGCAGAUCAGCAACGCUGCGGUGAAUACGUUCCCGGGCCUU
rnacentral:rRNA from 1 species